CCUACGGGAGGCAGCAGUGAGGAAUAUUGGUCAAUGGGCGCGAGCCUGAACCAGCCAAGUAGCGUGAAGGAUGACUGCCCUACGGGUUGUAAACUUCUUUUAUAAAGGAAUAAAGUAAGGCAUGUGUGCCUUUUUGUAUGUACUUUAUGAAUAAGGAUCGGCUAACUCCGUGCCAGCAGCCGCGGUAAUACGGAGGAUCCGAGCGUUAUCCGGAUUUAUUGGGUUUAAAGGGAGCGUAGAUGGAUUGUUAAGUCAGUUGUGAAAGUUUGCGGCUCAACCGUAAAAUUGCAAUUGAUACUGGCAGCCUUGAGUACAGUAGAGGUAGGCGGAAUUCGUGGUGUAGCGGUGAAAUGCUUAGAUAUCACGAAGAACUCCGAUUGCGAAGGCAGCUUACUAAACUGCAACUGACACUGAUGCUCGAAAGUGUGGGUAUCAAACAGGAUUAGAUACCCGGGUAGUC
rnacentral:rRNA from 1 species